CAGCCGCCGCGGUAAUACCGGCGGCCCGAGUGGCGGCCACUAUUAUUGGGCUUAAAGCGUCCGGAGCCGGGUUGGUUAGUCUCCCGGGAAAUCUGGCCGCUUAAAGGUCAGAAUUCCGGGAGAUACUGCCAGCCUAGGGACCGGGAGAGGCCGAGGGUAUUCCCGGAGUAGGGGUGAAAUCCUAUAAUCCCGGGAGGACCACCUGUGGCGAAGGCGCUCUGCUGGAACGGGUCCGACGGUGAGGGACGAAGGCCAGGGGAGCAAACCGGAUUAGAUACCCGGGUAGUCCUGGCUGUAAACGAUGCGGACUUUGUGUCGGACAAGCUAUGAGCUUGUCCGGUGCCGGAGGGAAACCGUUAAGUCCGCCGCCUGGGGAGUACGGCCGCAAGGCUGAAACUUAAAGGAAUUGGCGGG
rnacentral:rRNA from 1 species